rnacentral:rRNA from 1 species
AUUGAACGCUGGCGGCGUGCCUAACACAUGCAAGUCGAGCGGAGCGGCGAACGGGUGAGUAAGGCGUGAGUAACUGCCCCCCUCUCUGGGAUAACAGAUGGAAACGGCUGCUAAUAGCGGAUAGUGGGGGAUGACUCGCGUCCUAUCGGCUUGUUGGUGGGGUAGUGGCAUACCAAGGCGAGGGCGGGUAGCCGGCCUGAGCGGGCGACCGGCCACAAUGGGCUGAGGGACGGCCCAAACUCCUACGGGGGGCAACAGUGGGGAAUAUUGCACAGUGGUGGAAACCCUGAUACGACGGCGCCGCGUGCGGAAUGACGGCCUUCGGGUUGUAAACCGCUUUCAGCCAUUACGCGUUAGUGGCAGAAGAAGCACCGGCUAACUACGUGCCAGCAGCCGCGGUAAUAC